UACGUAGGGUGCGAGCGUUGUCCGGAAUUAUUGGGCGUAAAGGGCUCGUAGGCGGUCUGUCGCGUCGGUAGUGAAAACUCAGGGCUUAACCCUGAGCCUGCUUCCGAUACGGGCAGACUAGAGGUAUGCAGGGGGAGAAUGGAAUUCCUGGUGUAGCGGUGAAAUGCGCAGAUAUCAGGAGGAACACCGGUGGCGAAGGCGGUUCUCUGGGCAUUACCUGACGCUGAGGAGCGAAAAGUGUGGGGAGCGAAACAGG
rnacentral:rRNA from 1 species